rnacentral:rRNA from 1 species
GACGAACGCUGGCGGCGUGCCUAAUACAUGCAAGUCGAACGAAGACUGUAGUAAUACUGUCUUAGUGGCGAACGGGUGAGUAACGCGUGGGUGACCUGCCCCGAAGUGUGGGAUAACAGUCCGAAAGGAUUGCUAAUACUGCAUAAUAUCCAAGAGAUUAGAUGCUUUUUGGAUUAAAGGAGUAAUUCGCUUCGGGAGGGGCCCGCGUCCCAUCAGCUAGUUGGUAAGGUAAUGGCUUACCAAGGCGAUGACGGGUAGGGGACCUGAGAGGGUGGCCCCCCACAAUGGAACUGAAACACGGUCCAUACACCUACGGGUGGCAGCAGUAGGGAAUAUUAGUAAUGGGCGAAAGCCUGAACUAGCAACGCCGCGUGUGCGAAAGAAGGCCUUCGGGUUGUAAAGCACUUUUUGAGAGGAUGAGGAAGGACGGUACUCUCAGAAUAAGUCUCGGCUAACUACGUG